UCUGCCUGAAUGUAACUGUUCUGCAGGCU
rnacentral:piRNA from 1 species